rnacentral:rRNA from 1 species
UUAGGCACCCAUUUAUUCCGACGCAAACUUUGUAAGGUGGCUGCUUGAGUACUACGAGUGCUUAAAACUCAAAGGAUUUGGCGGCUCGUUAACUACCUAGGGGAAUAUGUGCCUUAAUCCGAUGACACCCGUUGUAUCUUACUGUGCCUUGAAAAAAAGCAGUUGGUGUAUUGCCGUUGUCAGCUUGUUGUUGAGCAGAAGGAACAGGCCCAAUGGAAUCGAGAUCCGUGAAUUCAGGUCGAAAUGCUGCCUAUGGUACAGGGAGUAGGUAUUACAGUUUAAAAUUAAAAUUACGGAUCUUGUGAAAUUGAAGGUGGACUUAGGAGUAAGGGAAGAUUAAUAUGCUACCCUGAACUGAAUCUAACUUGUGUACAAACCGCCCGUCGCUCUCGCCAGGGGAGAU